rnacentral:misc_RNA from 1 species
UUCAAAGAAUUUAUGACGAAAUAGCUUUAAGAUACAGAAGCAAGUUUCUACGUCCAGAGACGAUACUAGAAAGGUAGCAAUAUCAGAGUAAAGGAAAUACUGUAGUGAGUACAAGAAUCUAAUCACAACACAUAUAAUAAUAGUUAAAUGGCAGUUAUAUAGAGCAACUGCAAGAGAAAGUAAAGAAGUUUUGGUUCUUAAUACAUCUUUUAUAGAAACUCUGUAAACAUACACCAAUACCAUCUGCAGCUACUUAGGGCCAAUGUCCUUGAUACCACAAAUCUGCUCCUCUCCCAUGGCAGACAUCACUGAUAGAACCAGGUCUUUCCCCUCAGCAAAACCAUCUUUGACCUGAGCCAGAAGAGUAUCAUCAGUUGGGAGUCUCAAGUCAUCCUUGGUGUUACCAUUUCAGUCAACAGACUCACAAAGCCAUCCUCAGAGAUAUCAAUAAGUUGAUAAUCAGUCCUAUUCACAUGAGGAACAUCACAAUUGUGAGAAGAGGGAACAAUAUCCUCAAGUUUCUUUCCAGUGAAAAUGUCAAUUGCCACGAAGUGACAUUUAGCAUGACCGUGCUUGCCUGUCUUGGAAGUUGAAACUUCAACCACCUUGCAAGGACGAUUUUUUAUGACGAUGUGACCACCUUUACGAAUAGUACCAGCUUGUUGA